rnacentral:lncRNA from 1 species
GGGCGGCCAUUCCCAGGACUUUGGACUUGGCUCCGUUGCACCCCUGAACAGACUGACGGCAUUUGGAACCACCCUGGGAACACACCUCUGGGAACCAAGGUUGCUAGGAGAACACCUGUGCCCCCAGCACUUUGGUCCAGCAAGGGCAGGAGAGGAGAGCUGGAAACUGGUAGAGCUGUGCUACCUGCUACCUCCUGAGGCUCUCAGGGAGCGGGAGAAUCUGAACAUGAGUGGCAAGAGCUGGGUACUGAUCUCUACUACUUCGCCCCAGAGCCUGGAAGAUGAGAUUCUGGGACGGCUUCUGAAAAUUC